UUUGUCAAUGUCCUUAUACCAUGGAAGUCCUGGUGAAUUAUCACAUACUCCUAAUGUGCUGAGAAAUACCACUUUCAGGACACUGAGAUAUAAAACCACUUAAAAGCGUUGAAGAAGGAAGGAUUCAUGAAUUCUAUAACUGUAAGAGAAUGAGUUCUGCCAAAAAUCUAAGGGAGCUUGAAAGCAUAUCUUUCCUUAGUUCAGCCUCUGCAUGAGAACCCAGCUUUGCCUGACACCUUGAUUGCAGCCUUGAUAAGACCGUAAGAAAGACCGUAAGAAAACCCAAGCAGAUGUGCCUAUAGACUCCUCACCCACAACUGCGAUAUCACAGAUGUGUCCAGACUUCUUACCCACAACUGCGAUAUCACAGAUGUGUCGAGACUCCCUACCCACAACUGCAAUAUCACAGAUAUGUCGAGACUCCCUACCCACAACUGCAGUAUCACUGAUGUGUCGAGACUCCCUACCCACACCUGCGAUAUCACAGAUGUGUCGAGACUCCCUACCCACAACUGCGAUAUCACAGAUGUGUCGAGACUCCCUACCCACAACUGCGAUAUCACAGAUGUGUCGAGACUCC
rnacentral:lncRNA from 1 species